UGGUCAUGAAUCAUGGAUCUGUAAUGACCACUACACCAAGAAUAAGAACCUAUCAGUAUCACAUGGCUGCUGAGUCCAAGAGUCCGAGAUCUCAAUACAAAGCUUGUGACCGUAGCCUCCCGGAACUUCAGCCUCUGUGUCUGCAGAGUGAACAUCACAACUCUACCUUGCCAAAUUAUGACCAUACUCAGUACAUGGACCAGGGACAGGCAGACACUAAGAACAUAAGACAAGUUAUGCCAUGGAUUCACAAUGUCUCGAUCGAUGGAACAAAGUCGGUGGUGCUAUGAGCUAGGCAGAGAAAUUCAAAGCCAGAGUGCCUGCGGACUCACUACCUGCCCGGCUUGGUCAUAGGAGUUUGUUUUCUUGGUGCUUCCCAACAUGGAAGAAGAUCUUAAGAAUUAGAAAGGAGAAUUAUGAGACUCCAUGUAGCUACCUAACCAGGACAAAUAGCAAAGAAGACCCUUAAAGACAAAUGAACCAGGAUAAAGCCAAGGAGAAGCAUUCUAGGAAAAGCAAGCAGCAUGUGCAAAGGUCCUGAGGAUUUAUUCAUCUUGGAAAAACACCUGUGUGAGUGUCUCUGAGGGCGUUGUCUGAGAGAACAGACUGAGAAAGGCUUGCCUUGAAUUUGAGUGGCUCCAUAUCCUGGCCUGGAGUCCUGCCCUGAAUAAAAAAGGAGAAAAUGUGCUC